GUGUCGUUUUGAAAGGAGAGCAGUUUAGCACUCCCCUUGACAAGGAUGGACACAUAAAUGGUCAGAUGAGGCACAGACAAAUAUCUGGCCUAAUUUUUUU